rnacentral:rRNA from 1 species
UGGGGAAUAUUGGGCAAUGGGCGGAAGCCUGACCCAGCGACGCCGCGUGGGGGAAGAAGUCUUUCGGGAUGUAAACCCUUGUUGUACGGGACGAAGGAAGUGACGGUACCGUACGAGGAAGCCCCGGCAAACUACGUGCCAGCAGCCGCGGUAAUACGUAGGGGGCGAGCGUUGUCCGGUAUCACUGGGCGUAAAGCGCACGUAGGCGGGCUGUCAAGUCGGCCGUGAAAGUCACGGGCUCAACCUGUGCAUGUCGGUCGAUACUGGCGGUCUGGAGUAUGGGAGAGGGAACUGGAAAUCCCGGUGUAGCGGUGAAAUGCGUAGAUAUCGGGAGGAACACCAGUGGCGAAGGCGGGUUCCUGGACCAUGACUGACGCUGAGGUGCGAAAGCCGGGGGAGCGAACGG